AAAGCUCCACCGGCUGAGACGAAACGAAGUGGAUGGAAAGCUUCUCCCUGCACUCCACAGUUAUUGAAGACAAUGUGAUGAAGAUGUCUUCUCAUCCUGAAUGGAGAAACCUGAGAAACCAGCAGGGCACUUCAGUCUUCACCUCACCGCUGAUGUCAUCCAUGACCUUCUGAACCUUUGACCUAUCCGAGGUCAAUCACAAGUAAGUUUGUUCCUGUUUGUACAGUGGGGAAAAGCAAGUAUAACACCCAGAGAUGCAGAAGAGUUCAUGGAAAAAGCAGAACCAGUGUCAUCAGAAGUACAGGAGGGAGAGAGAUCUGAAUAAACACACACACACACACACACACACUGGUGGGAUCUCUUAUGUUCGUUAGGAGUGUGUUGACUAAGGAAUGUGUAAAACUCCAUCACUAAGAGUAGAAUGACUGCAGUCUGUAGAGAGUCGAGCAGAAUUCAGAAUAGAAGUGGAACUGAGCUGCAAACAGGAUGCAAAACUGACAUAUUAAAAAAGAAAAAUUAAGUACAGUUUUAAAGUAAAUAAUACAUUUCAUUUUUCUAUAUGAAUUACCCAUACACAUUUUAUAUAAUAGAAAAUGUAUACAACAAAAGUUUAUUUUGGAUGUAUUAAUAGAAUGUGAAAAUUGUAUGGUGUGAGCUACAGCUUUGUGUAAUAAU